rnacentral:tRNA from 1 species
UAUGGAGUAGUUUAAUUGGAAAAACGAAGAACUUUGACUUCUUUAUUGUGGGUUCAAUCCCCAUCUCCCUAA